GGGCAUGCACACUCACCAGUGCGCGGCACCGCAACCAGCAGCAGCUUUCCGCUGCACCCACGUAUCUGGAAGAGGAUCGCCACUUUCCCCAAGCCUUCUCCGCGUGCACAUACAGCCCACGCACCCGUCACAGGCCAUCAAAGUACCCACGACUCGGCCUGCCGAGCGCAGGGGUGUCUGCCCGCACGAAUGCGGUCCGUCAAGGGAUCGCCUCCGCUACGCCUACAUGGCACGGCUGGAGUCAGCGUUGCUCCACGGUGCCGCCGCGCGGUCGGCUGGUGCUGGCCGGGAACUGCACGAAGGCCCUUGUGCACCCUCACGCCAAAGCAGCCGCAGCCAUCGUGGGUGCCCCAAAAUAUGCAGAUAGCGGACACCCGCUGGGAGAGGCCAAGCCCCUGCCCCCGACCCCACAGCGCUGCUGCGCCGCGCACGCUUGCAUCCCUCCGCAGCCACGCCAGGAGGCCGCCUUGCGCACUUAGCGUGAGGAUGGGUGCACACACGCAUGGCGGUGCCGUCACAACGCUUUCGCAGCUCUCAAGCCGGUGUGCAGGCACCGAUACCCCUCGGAGCUCCGCACGCGCACACCUCCAUUAUGCGCAGCGGCCGCGCGCCCCUCUCAUAUCGGCUUGUCGAUGGCCGAUUGUGAAUCGGUGCACCAAAAGAAGCUUGGCAAGCAUGCAAAAUCGGCAAUGGCGGAGGAGUCGACGCCAACUGGACAGGCUACGGACCUGGCUACCGGUCUCAGACGCCAGGCCGACAUUCCCCUGCUACCCGCACGACAGGAGCACACCGCCUCUGCUUUCCCGCCAGACCCUGGACGCGGUCUGCUUGUAUCAAGGUAGGCAGUCCAGCCAAGCCCGUGUGACGCCGAUCGCGCAGCACGUAUCCGAGGAUGGACAACGAGAUCCCUUUAGGCGCAUAGCCCGAUUUGGCGGCAGGAAAGCCUAUCCUCAACGGCCAGGAUGUAGCCGCAGUGCAACAGAGGUGGGCCAGCUGUGGUUGCACGCGCCUCUGUGCUGAUGUGGUCGUGAGCGAAUGACACAUUGAGGAAGCAAAAUGUUUUCGACUGUCUGUCAAUGGUGCUCUCUCACAUUGUUGCCAUGUCCUGCCCUUUUCCUGCUCUCGCGCCCUCCCUCGCUCCACCUCUCCUCGCCGGUUUCCAUCGCUGUCUUUGUGCGGCUGCGCGUAACUGCUUGCGCGCGCGUUUGUGUGGAGGAUGACGGACGAGGGGGUGCUGACAUGAAGAAGCGCGGAGGGAGGGGAGGGGGGAUGCACUACGUCGUAGACGCGGGUCGUCUUCUCUCUCUCUCGUCGCGAAGCGAUGAAGCGAGGUUGGUGGGAUGGGUGAUCAGUUUCGUCGCGUGCUUCAUCCUUGGAAGAACCAGCGUUUUUUUUUCUCGUACACCUUCGUGGCGGCGUGAGGCGGCGGUGUCGACCACAGAGGCCGCAUCGCCCUCUCCACAUCGCUCUUUCUGCCGCUCUCUGUUCUUUGUCAUGUUUACGCUCUCGCUUUGGGCAUCGCAAUCCAUGUGCAUGUAUACAUGUAUAUAUACAUGUACAGGUGUGUGUUGGUGUGCGUGUGCCCAUCGCCGAUGAGUUUUGCGUUUGAGCUUUCUCGCCGCGUUUGCUUAACGAUGCUAUCUCCCUCCGUGGUUGCACUCUUCACCUCCCCGCCCUCACGGGAGUAUGUGCGACGGCGGUUGUGAUGGGUGCCGCUACAUGUGGACGCAACGAGGAGUUUCUCUUGCAUUUCUCUCAUCUGCUUGAAUCGGCUUCUGUAGAUUUUUUGGUAGGUUUCUCCCGCGCUCUUCGUUCAUGCUGUUUUUCGUGCUCAAGCAACAGCUUCCUUAGCAGGAGCAGCAGAGAAGCCGCGACACAUACCCGACCAGCUCUUCGUGUGACAGGAGAUAAGUCAAUUAUAUGUGUGGUGGCAACAGCCGACAUUCUGCUU
rnacentral:misc_RNA from 1 species